CCUACGGGUGGCUGCAGUGGGGAAUCUUGCACAAUGGGCGAAAGCCUGAUGCAGCAACGCCGCGUGAGCGAAGAAGGCCUUUGGGUCGUAAAGCUCUGUCCUAAGGGGAGAAGGCAGUGACGGUACCUUAGGAGGAAGCCCCGGCUAACUACGUGCCAGCAGCCGCGGUAAUACGUAGGGGGCAAGCGUUAUCCGGAAUUAUUGGGCGUAAAGAGUACGUAGGCGGUUCGUUAAGCGCAGGGUUUAAGGCGAUAGCUUAACUAUCGUUCGCCCUGUGAACUGGGGGACUUGAGUAUCGGAGAGGAAAGCGGAAUUCCGAGUGUAGCGGUGAAAUGCGUAGAUAUUAGGAGGAACACCAGUGGCGAAGGCGGCUUUCUGGACGAAAACGGACGCUGAGGUACGAAAGCGUGGGGAGCAAACAGGAUUAGAUACCCGGGUAGUC
rnacentral:rRNA from 1 species